GCCGGGUGUGGUGGUGCGCACCUGUAAUCCCAGCUACUCAGGAGGCUGAGGCAGGAGAAUCGCUUUAACCAGGGAGGUGGAGGUUGCAGUGAGCUGAGAUCACGCCACUGCACUCCAGCCUGGGCAACAGAGCGAGACUCUGUCUCAA
rnacentral:SRP_RNA from 1 species